rnacentral:rRNA from 1 species
CGGAUCGCAGCCUGCAACCCGGCUGCGUGAAGCUGGAAUCGCUAGUAAUCGCGGAUCAGAAUGCCGCGGUGAAUACGUUCCCGGGUCUUGUACACACCGCCCGUCACACCAUGGGAGCCGGAAACGCCCGAAGCCAGCGGCCCAACCGCGAGGAGGGAGCUGUCGAAGGCGGGUCCGGUGACCGGGGUGAAGUCGUAACAAGGUAGC